CGGUUGUUUAGCUCAGAAUGGCAAUGGCCCGCUGUGCCUCGGUGCGAGAGCGUGCUAGCUAGGGUAGGGUACUUUAAGCGGUGCGAUGUAGACUAAACUAAACACGCACAUCUGUCAGAACAGGAGCACGUAUCAGUAAAGUAACUAUGGAGCCGUGCUGCCGCGCUCGUUUCUGAUCUGGGAAGAACAGUGCAACCGUCCGGAGCCUUCCGGAGAGCAGUGCAGAUACCAAGUACCUGUGAUAAAAUGGACCAAACAGACUGACGAUGCUGGCCUAAAGAGGACAUGUCAAGCGUAAGUAAAAAAAAAAAAAAGCAUCAAUGGAAUGAGAGGCUGAAGAUGGCGGAUGAUGGCGUGCUACCCAAACGGCCAGCACGAACAGAACCACCCAUUGCGUCUGAAGCGGCACACUACCGACGCCGUUAUUCUACUGGGCCUAGCUGCAGAUUGAUGUCAUCUGAUUGGCAGCCAGCGCAUACAAUAGCAUCCAAAACUGCAUUGAUACGGCAUACUAUUCAGUAUUUAAUGGGCGAGUUGGCUGAGUGCGCGUAAAGUGCAGCGAUCUUGAAGGAGUGUCUGACAUAGUGCGCAACGGAAUGGAAAAUCAAGCUGCUGGUCGCAAAAGCCUCGGAAGUCACCCAAAGAGCAUCUAGACAGUAGUGCUAAGCUCAGACUUUCAAAACAACACAAGCAAGCAAAGGACGCUGCAUAAAACCCUGGCAUGCUGUACAGCGAAGCGGUGUUGCAUGACAGUAAUCAAUUUAGGUCAUUCAAUAAAUAUUUCAUGCGUGUUUUUCACUUCAA